rnacentral:lncRNA from 1 species
AUUUUACUAUUUAAAUUAUUUUAAAAUUAUUUAAAAUACAUAUAUAUAUAUAUAUAUAUCUCUCUCUCAUAGAACCCCAGAACCAGAACUCCCUCUCUCUCUCUCUCUCUCUCUCUCUCUCUCUCUUCCUCCAUAGCCUCUACCACCAAACCCUCCAUCCGUCUGAUCCUCCUCUACCAAAAAGUAAAGAAACAACCCAGCUCACUCCCCCCCAACCCCCACAAAAUCUCAUCGUCC